rnacentral:rRNA from 1 species
GAUUGGUGCCUUCGGGAACUCGAAUACAGGAGGUGGAUGGCUGUCGGCAGCUCGUGUCGGGAGAUGUUGGGUUAAGUCCCGCAACGAGCGCAACCCUUGCCCUUAGUUGCCAGCACGUAAUGGGGGGAACUCUAUGGAGAGGGCGGGGGAGAAACCGGAGGAGGGGGGGGAUGACGCCAAGUCUUCUUGGCCCUUACGGCCGGGUCUACCCCCGUCCUACAAGGGUGGGGACAGAGGGCUGCAACCCGGCGACGGUAAGCCAAUCCCAUAAACCCUAUCUCAGUCCGGAUUGGAGUCUGCAUCUCGACUCCGUGAAGCCGGAAUCGCUAGUAAUCGCAGAUCACAAUGGCUGCGGGAAAUACUUCCCCGGCCCUUGAACCCCCCCCCCGUCAUCCAAGGGGGGGUGGUUUCCCCCAAAGCAGGAACCCCCCCCUCCGGGAGGGCGCUUGCCCCGGGGGGGCCGAGGACUGGGGUAAAAUCAAAAAAAGGAAACCAAAAAUUUUGUUCCUGGCUCAAAAAUUUUUUAAAAAGGAACCCAAAAAGUUUGCU